CAGAAUGACUCUCGGCAACGGAUAUCUAGGCUCUUGCAUCGAUGAAGAACGUAGCGAAAUGCGAUACUUGGUGUGAAUUGCAGAAUCCCGUGAACCAUCGAGUCUUUGAACGCAAGUUGCGCCCGAUGCCACUAGGUUGAGGGCACGUCUGCCUGGGCGUCACA
rnacentral:rRNA from 1 species